UACGUAGGGUGCAAGCGUUGUCCGGAAUUAUUGGGCGUAAAGAGCUCGUAGGCGGUCUGUCGCGUCGGGCUGUGAAAUCCCGAGGCUCAACCUCGGGUCUGCAGUCGAUACGGGCAAACUAGAGUAUUGCAGGGGGAGACUGGAAUUCCUGGUGUAGCGGUGAAAUGCGCAGAUAUCAGGAGGAACACCGGUGGCGAAGGCGGGGUCUCUGGGCAAUAACUGACGCUGAGGAGCGAAAAGCGUGGGGGAGCGAAACAGGG
rnacentral:rRNA from 1 species